rnacentral:lncRNA from 1 species
UCAGAUAGUGCUCUCUCUACAGUGCCUUAAAUGAAAGAUAUUUCCUUUGUGGUUAUGGAGCUGUUAAGAUGAGCAGUUAAUAAAUAAAAAAGCAGACUCGUUUUUAGGUUAUUGCUUUCACAUUAUAAUUGAGUUUUUUUUUUCUCACUUUCUCCUUGUUCCCCCCAUCAUAUUGAAUGUAUAACAAAGGACAUUGGACAGGAUUCCUAGUCUGCUUGUGCUUCUGGAGGGUUACUAUCAAACUGGCAAAAAAGAAAAAAAUAUCCAUUUAGAAGACUGAAUGAGAAAAUCAAGAGCCUGAAGUUCAUUGUUUUUGAACAAAAAUUUGUGGAAUGCCUGCCAAUUUCAUUUAGGUGAAGGAUAAUUCUUUGUGAAAUUAUAUUUCAGAAUAUAACUAACCACAUUUCUAUAGAAUCUAAGGGAACAAAGCUCAUACACUAGUCUACUCAAGAUACUGCUUCAUAACUUAAUAUUCUGCUGAUGCCUUAAUUAUUUAAUUGGAAGUUCUCAUUAAAUCUUUGAAGAUAGGAAAUAUUUUUAAUGUUUUUUUUUAAAUCAUUCUAAAUGUCAAGAAAAAGAGUGAGCUUUGUGAAUUUUCUAUCAAUAGUAGCCGAAUCACUGAAGUUCAAUAUAGAUUUUUCUCAAAAAAGAAAUCCUAAAAAGCACAUUGUACAGUAUUAAUUUUACUUUCACAGUCAAAUUAAUGUCAAGAUAAUUUUUCAUAUCUAAUAUUCCUUCCAAGGUUAGUAUUUAAAGCACAGUAUAUUAUAACAGCUUCUUUUAAAACAUUACAGGGAUGAGCCAUUUCAGCUAUUUUUAAUCUUUUCACACAGAACUUUAUCUGAGAAAGAUUAUUAACACGACAAUCUUUGCUGUAAAAUUAAGGAAUUAAAAGCAAGUUCUUAAUAAUACAAAGUUCGCAUAAGCUACCUAAAAAAAAAAAAAAAAACUUCAAAAAUUCUCAAUGAUAUCAAUAAUAAUAUAAAAUUGUACAUGUUGCUGAAAUGUAGUUUUGAAUGUUUUUUAUAAAAUUUGACGCAUUCCUUUUGCUGUCAACAUCAAUUUUCAAUUUCCAUACUACAGAAAAAAAGUUUAGAGAGCAUGAGUAAACUAAAAAAGCAAAUGUGAAAUUAAAAAAAUAAUGUAAACAAAAUUAAGCUCAUUAGGAAUUAAUUCUUCUGCUACCUUUCCAGUACAUCAACUUGACUACAAGAGAUGUUAACACUUUACAGAUAUUUAAUGUUUAGGAUGUGGAUUUUAUUCCUACACACUUUCUCCUUCAUUUUUAGAGACCCUUAGAGUACUAGGCUUGUAUUUUUAUUUGAGCAACACAAUCAUCAAGCUCAUCAAUCUUCUGAAGAAAUCCAGUUGUCAUUACAAAGCAAGAAGAACUCAGUAGAAGACAAGUUUGACUCUAUACAAGUACAGAAGAGCCUAGGACGUAAAAAUCAAGAUGUAAACAAAU